rnacentral:rRNA from 1 species
ACUACGGGAGGCAGCAGUGGGGGAUAUUGCACAAUGGGGGAAACCCUGAUGCAGCGACGCCGCGUGAGUGAAGAAGUAUUUCGGGAUGGAAAGCUCGAUCAGCAGGGAAGAAAAUGACAGUACCUGACCAAGAAGCCCCGGCUAACUACGGGCCCGCAGCCGCGGUAAUACGGAGGGGGCAAGCGUUAUCCGGAUUUCCUGGGUGUAAAGGGAGCGUAGCCGGUUAGGUAAGUCUGGAGUGAAAGCCCGGGGCCCACCCCCGGGACUGCUUGGGAAACUGUGGAACUGGAGUACAGGAGGGGCAGGCGGAAUUCCUGGUGUAGCGGUGAAAUGCGUAGAUAUCAGGAGGAACCCCGGCGGCGAAGGCGGCCUGCUGGACU